AGGUCUUGACAUCUUCUGCCAAUCUUAGAGAUAAGACGUUCCCUUCGGGGACAGAAUGACAGGUGGUGCAUGGUUGUCGUCAGCUCGUGUCGUGAGAUGUUGGGUUAAGUCCCGCAACGAGCGCAACCCUUAUUAUCAGUUGCCAGCAUUCAGUUGGGCACUCUGGUGAGACUGCCGGUGACAAACCGGAGGAAGGUGGGGAUGACGUCAAAUCAUCAUGCCCCUUAUGACCUGGGCUACACACGUGCUACAAUGGACGGUACAACGAGUCGCAAAGUCGCGAGGCUAAGCUAAUCUCUUAAAGCCGUUCUCAGUUCGGAUUGCAGGCUGCAACUCGCCUACAUGAAGUUGGAAUCGCUAGUAAUCGCGGAUCAGCAUGCCGCGGUGAAUACGUUCCCGGGCCUU
rnacentral:rRNA from 1 species